UACGUAGGGGGCAAGCGUUGUCCGGAUUUAUUGGGCGUAAAGAGCGUGUAGGCGGCCAUACAGGUCAGCUGUGAAAACUCGAGGCUCAACCUCGAGACGUCGGUUGAAACCGUAUGGCUAGAGUCCGGAAGAGGAGAGUGGAAUUCCCGGUGUAGCGGUGAAAUGCGCAGAUAUCGGGAAGAACACCAAUGGCGAAGGCAGCUCUCUGGGACGGUACUGACGCUGAGACGCGAAAGCGUGGGGAGCGAACAGG
rnacentral:rRNA from 1 species